rnacentral:rRNA from 1 species
UACGUAGGGUGCAAGCGUUAAUCGGAAUUACUGGGCGUAAAGCGUGCGCAGGCGGUUUUGUAAGACAGGUGUGAAAUCCCAGGGCUUAACCUUGGAACUGCAUUUGUGACUGCAUAGCUAGAGUACGGUAGAGGGGGAUGGAAUUCCGCGUGUAGCAGUGAAAUGCGUAGAUAUGCGGAGGAACACCGAUGGCGAAGGCAAUCCCCUGGACCUGUACUGACGCUCAUGCACGAAAGCGUGGGGAGCAAACAGG